AACGACGGCCGGCGCAGAU
rnacentral:misc_RNA from 1 species